rnacentral:rRNA from 1 species
UACGGGGGAUGCAAGCGUUAUCCGGAUUUAUUGGGUUUAAAGGGUGCGUAGGCUGUGAGGUAAGUCAGCGGUGAAAUGCCCCCGCUCAACGGGGUGAAGUGCCAUUGAUACUGCCUUGCUGGAAUGCGGAUGCCGUGGGAGGAAUGUGUGGUGUAGCGGUGAGAUGCAUAGAUAUCACACAGAACACCGAUUGCGAAGGCAGCUCACGAAUCCGCUAUUGACGCUGAUGCACGAAAGCGUGGGUAUCAAACAGG